rnacentral:rRNA from 1 species
CCCUUAGAUGUUCUGGGCCGCACGCGCGCUACACUGAUGCAUUCAACGAGUCUAAAACCUGCUCUGAUAGGGGUGGGUAAUCUUUUGAAUGUGCAUCGUGAUUGGGAUAGAUGAUUGCAAUUUUUCAUCUUCAACGAGGAAUUCCUAGUAAACGCAAGUCAUCAGCUUGCAUUGAUUACGUCCCUGCCCUUUGUACACACCGCCCGUCGCUCCUACCGAUUGAAUGAUCCGAUGAAUAUCAUGGAUUGAGGAUGCAAGCAGGUUCGCCUGUCUUCAUCUUCGAGAAGUGAAGUAAAUCUUAUCAUUUAGAGGAAGGAGAAGUCGUAACA